AACACGUAUCCAACCUGCCGAUAACUCGGGGAUAGCCUUUCGAAAGAAAGAUUAAUACCCGAUGGCGAUAAUAGAACCGCAUGGUUGAUUAUUAAAGAAUUCGGUUAUCGAUGGGGAUGCGUUCCAUUAGGCAGUUGGUGGGGUAACGGCCCACCAAACCUUCGAUGGAUAGGGGUUCUGAGAGGAAGGUCCCCCACAUUGGAACUGAGACACGGUCCAAACUCCUACGGGAGGGCAGCAUG
rnacentral:rRNA from 1 species